rnacentral:lncRNA from 1 species
AUGCAUAACGCCAUUAGCCCUAGAAAAAGGAAAUUCAAAUCUAUAGACGGUAAUCCCAAGAGACGGCGUAGAUCUGAUAGUGGGGGUAGCAUUAUGGAUUUAGAACUUGAAGAGAUGGCAAUGAGGUAUGACGCAACCGGCGAUACGUCUCAUUUGUCGGCCGUAGGACAUGUGGGGGGUGGGGGCAUGUAUGCAGAAGGUUGUUUAGACAUGCGGGAAAUGUGUGUUGGCAUAGAUAGAACUAGGCGUGUGUUAAUUGCAGCUGAUGCAUGGGGGCAUAGCAUGGCUAAUGCUCUAUAUCAGGCAGCACAGAUAAAUGUUUCGAACGAAUCAGGUCUAGAUGAGAUGGUGGGGCUAGAGGCGCCAGGAGAUUUAGACACUAGGGGUGUGUUGUAUGCGGGGGCAAACACACGAAAGGUACUUAACGCUGUCGGGGGGUGGUUGGAUAGUGCACAAGAGAGUCUAUACAUAUCAGCGCAGAUCGAUGUAUUGCAUGGGUCGCAAUGUGAUGAAGGGAUUGGCGAGGGUUUUCAGGACCCCCCGGCUGUGGCAGGGGUCCCUAUAGAGUCGAAUAUACAGGUCGGUGGGGGCGGUGUGGGGGGUGGUGGCGGUAGUGGCGUGGGGGGCGGUAGCGGUAGUGGCGUGGUGGGCGGUGGCGGUGGUGGCGGUGAUGGUGGUGGCGUGGGAGGAGGCGAUGGUGGUGGUGAUGUUGAUGGUGAUGGCAGUGGUGACGGUGAUGGUGGUGGUGACGGUGAUGGUGGUGCUGCUGAUGCUGAUGAUGGUACACCUGUGCCUGCUGUAACGGGGGAAGAUAAUGACGAGUUGCAUACCAGAUUAUUUCCCCAUUUUAACGGCUUUGAGGUUAGACAGGCCAUUGAUCUGAGAAGUAUAUCCCUUGCAAAUUUACAGGAGGUCCCUGAUUUGAUCAGGGAGAGGCUGUCGGGUGUCAUAACGAGCUGCUCACAAAGUUCAGCCGAUGGUAGUGUCUUAAACGUGGUGCUGAGAGGCCCUUCAUUGGCCUCUGAUGUACAGACUGUGCUCGUAUCGGGUGACGACUACAAUGCGGAUUUGUUUAUGGACCAUAUUAGCCAAGUCAUGCAAAGUAACGACACAGGUCUGACGGAUGACGUGCUAGAGUUGGUGGUCACAGGGGUCCACAACAAGCGGGGUGGGGCACGUUUGAAGUUAAAAAACAUUCCCUAUGAUGAAAUCAUAUACAAGAAGAAGCUAAGUCUCUACACCCCGAGUAAUACUCAUAACAAUUUGUGUUUCUCACUAUGCAUGACACAUUUUCUGCAUGAAGGGGUAACCGGGGGUGACACAGCGUCCGAAGAGACUAAUUUGGAGGCGGCUCGCAAAUUACACAGAUCUGGGGUUUGA